CCCCAAAUACCUUCGUGAAUCAAAUGCCCUCAGUCCCUCACCACUCACCAACCCUAGCUUCUUCAAGAAUUCAGAACCCAAACCAAAAACCUAGCCUCUUCAACGGAUUCGACGCCGCCGCUCGUCGUUGUAGGCGCCUCCGCGGCCUCCUCCUCCCCCUGUUCCAAACCAAAUCCCUAGCUCGGCACGUCGUCGUUGCGUCGUCUUCUAGCUUCGCUGUUCAAGGCUUCGAGUUUGAGAUGCUUGCCGUGGUGUCGCCGUUGUCGUCUUGCUCUCAGUUGAAGUUAUUGAUUUGAAGGUUAGGGUGAUUAUUUGUUCUGGAACUGAGUCUGUUGUUUCACUGCCUGAUGGGAAAGUAAGUUCUCCCCAUCCUCCAUUGGAUUCGUCCUGCUCGUCGCCCUCUUGAUGGUUAGUGACUUUGGUGUGCACUUGUUCUUCGUUUUUCGUUUUAUUCUCUGACUCUUUGUUCUGAAAUCAACAAAUCAUUGAAUGAUUAUAUUGAUUAUGGGGUUUUGUGUCUUUGUUCAAAUUUGCAUAAUGUCCCCAGAAUUCUUUGCUGAGAACAAGAACAUUGCAGGAUUUGAUAAUCCAGGAAAAUCUCUUUAUACUACUGUUAGAGAGCUCGUGGAGAAUUCGCUUGACUCAGCGGAAUCGAUAUCGGAGCUUCCGGUAGUUGAGAUAACCAUGUGAGUUUGCAUUUGAAAGUACAAUGAACUAGUAAAUGAUUGAUUGUUCCAUGCUGACAUGGUUGUUGCAGUGAGGAGAUAAAGAAAAGCAAAUUUAAUUCUAUGAUC